rnacentral:rRNA from 1 species
GGGGGGAACCCUGAUCCAGCCAUGCCGCGUGUGUGAAGAAGGCCUUUUGGUUGUAAAGCACUUUAAGCGAGGAGGAGGCUACUGGUAUUAAUACUACCGGAUAGUGGACGUUACUCGCAGAAUAAGCACCGGCUAACUCUGUGCCAGCAGCCGCGGUAAUACAGAGGGUGCGAGCGUUAAUCGGAUUUACUGGGCGUAAGGCGUGCGUAGGCGGCUUUUUAAGUCGGAUGUGAAAUCCCUGAGCUUAACUUAGGAAUUGCAUUCGAUACUGGGAAGCUAGAGUAUGGGAGAGGAUGGUAGAAUUCCAGGUGUAGCGGUGAAAUGCGUAGAGAUCUGGAGGAAUACCGAUGGCGAAGGCAGCCAUCUGGCCUAAUACUGACGCUGAGGUACGAAAGCAUGGGGAGCAAACAGGAUUAGAUACCCUGGUAGUCCAUGCCGUAAACGAUGUCUACUAGCCGUUGGGGCCUUUGAGGCUUUAGUGGCGCAGCUAACGCGAUAAGUAGACCGCCUGGGGAG